GCGGGUGUGGUGUACGGUACACUGCUGUCUUUUAUUUGCAUACCAGAAACAGUUAUUGUAAGCAGUAGAUCCGGGUUCGACUCCCGGUGCCCGCA